rnacentral:lncRNA from 1 species
UGUUGGGUACAUGGUAGAGGUGAUUUUUUUUCACAUAUGAAUCAGAGCAUAGGGUCACUGAGGCCACUUCCAACUCUGAAGAUGUGUGAGACUGUGAAAACUACAUUGGUGUCCUGAAUGAAGAGCUUAUCUUCAAAUUUAACCUCUUCCCCUAUUCUAAGGAGCCAUUUUGUAUUUGUAAAGGAUUUCAUGGAAAGGCACAGAGAACUACCUAGAAUGAGAAGGCCGGAAGGAAUUGAGGGAGCAUCACCCCUCCCUCCAUGAUCAAAAAUCACAAAUCCGUCAAAGCAACAUACCUGGCUGUAUUUCUAUUCUAAGCCUGUAUCACAUCUCAGGGUAAAUAUAUUACCUGCUGUGUGAAGAAGGGCCUCCUGUUAUUUGUCCUACAUUUAAUUAUCUCAAUGUAUGUUAUUUUCAGCUU